rnacentral:rRNA from 1 species
CUACUGAAUCACAAAAUAACUUAAUAGUGCUUAUUGUGAUAACGUAAGGGAAAAAAAUGAUAUUACCUUACUAUAAGUGUUGUCUAAAUUACUGGUGCCAGAAGACUCGGUAACACCAGAAACGCGAACGUUAGUCGUCUUAAACAGGCGUAAAGGGUGAGUAGGCAGUUUACAAAUUCUUAAUUUAAGCAUAGGCUUUAUAAAUUAAAUAAUUAUUUAAUAUAUAAUAAAAAUAUAAAAAGUUAAAAUUUAUUUUAUAAUAAUUUAAAUUAAGAAAAAUAUAAACUAGAAUCUUAUGGAGGAUAAUCAAUAUAAUGCUUAGAGUAGGGAUGAUAUCCUCAGAUACUAAGUGGAAUACUAAUGGUGAAAGCUAUUAUCUAAUGAAGAUUGACGCUGAGGAACGAAAGUGAGAAUAGGGAAUAGGAUUAGAUACCCAGUUACCUCUCACCGUCAACAAUGAGUGGUGGUUAUUAUUUUUAAUUAAUUGAUAGCGAUGUUAACGCGAUUACCAUUCCGCCUUGAGAGUACGGUUGCAAAACUGAAACCAAAAAAAUUAGUCGGUCUCGGAGCAAAUGGAGUGAAGCAUGUUAUUUAAUACGUAAGUACGCGUAAAACCUUACCAGCUCUUGCAUAAACAAUUAUUAUUAUUAUUUUUUAAUUUAAUUUAAUGAAAUAAUUUCUUAAUUUUUAUUAAGAANUUGNUUNCAGGGNGUUGCAUGGGCUGUCGUCAGUCCGUAUUGUGAAAAGUGAGGUUAACUCNACNUAACGGACGAAAUCCCUGUAGUUAAUUUUUUCUUAACUAUUUAUGAAUUUUAAAUAUUUUCAUUUGGGGCUAAGACAAGUCGUUAUGGCCCUUAUGA